rnacentral:rRNA from 1 species
AUUGAACGCUGGCGGAAUGCUUUACACAUGCGAGUCGAACGGCAGCACGGACUUCGGUCUGGUGGCGAGUGGCGAACGGGUGAGUAAUGUAUCGGAGCGUGCCCAGUCGUGGGGGAUAACGUAGUGAAAAUUACGCUAAUACCGCAUACGAUCUAUGGAUGAAAGCGGGGGAUCGCAAGACCUCGCGCGAUUGGAGCGGCCGAUAUCAGAUUAGGUAGUUGGUGGGGUAAAGGCCCACCAAGCCAACGAUCUGUAGCUGGUCUGAGAGGACGACCAGCCACACUGGAACUGAGACACGGUCCAGACUCCUACGGGAGGCAGCAGUGGGGAAUUUUGGACAAUGGGCGAAAGCCUGAUCCAGCCAUUCCGCGUGCAGGAUGAAGGCCCUCGGGUUGUAAACUGCUUUUGUACAGAACGAAAAGGUUUCUACUAAUACUAGGAGCUCAUGACGGUACUGUAAGAAUAAGCACCGGCUGACUACGUGCCAGCCGCCGCCGUAA